AUUGAACGCUGGCGGCAGGCCUAACACAUGCAAGUCGAACGAGCGGCGGACGGGUGAGUAAUGUAUGGGAAACUGCCUGAUGGAGGGGGAUAACUACUGGAAACGGUAGCUAAUACCGCAUACCAUCGGAUGUGCCCAGAUGGGAUUAGCUAGUGGGUGGGGUAACGGCUCACCAAGGCGACGAUCCCUAGCUGGUCUGAGAGGAUGAUCGGCCACACGUGGACUGAGACAAGGUCCAGACUCCUACGGGAGGCAGCAGUGGGGAAUAUUGCACAAUGGGCGCAAGCCUGAUGCAGCCAUGCCGCGUGUCUGAAGAAGGCCUUCGGAUUGUAAAAUACUUUCAGCGGGGAGGCGUUACCCACAGAGAAAGCACCGGCUAACUCCGUGCCAGCCGCCGCGGUAAUAC
rnacentral:rRNA from 1 species